GGGCGAUGUUUGAUCCUGGCUCAGAGCGAACGCUGGCGGCAGGCUUAACACAUGCAAGUCGAGCGGGCGUAGCAAUACGUCAGCGGCAGACGGGUGAGUAACGCGUGGGAACGUACCUUUUGGUUCGGAACAACACAGGGAAACUUGUGCUAAUACCGAAUAAGCCCUUACGGGGAAAGAUUUAUCGCCGAAAGAUCGGCCCGCGUCUGAUUAGCUAGUUGGUGAGGUAACGGCUCACCAAGGCGACGAUCAGUAGCUGGUCUGAGAGGAUUAUCAGCCACAUUGGGACUGAGACACGGCCCAAACUCCUACGGGAGGCAGCAGUGGGGAAUAUUGGACAAUGGGGGCAACCCUGAUCCAGCCAUGCCGCGUGAGUGAUGAAGGCCCUAGGGUUGUAAAGCUCUUUUAACGGGGAAGAUAAUGACGGUACCCGCAGAAGAAGCCCCGGCUAACUUCGUGCCAGCAGCCGCGGUAAUA
rnacentral:rRNA from 1 species